GUUAAUAUAGUUCAGUGGCAUAAGCACCUGCCUUGCAAGCAGGCAGUCGUGAGUUCGAUCCCCGGUACCAAUA
rfam:Cavia porcellus supercont2_85 genomic scaffold, whole genome shotgun sequence.